GACGAACGCUGGCGGCGUGCUUAACACAUGCAAGUCGAACGGAAAGGCCCUGCUUUUGUGGGGUGCUCGAGUGGCGAACGGGUGAGUAACACGUGAGUAACCUGCCCUUGACUUUGGGAUAACUUCAGGAAACUGGGGCUAAUACCGGAUAGGAGCUCCUGCUGCAUGGUGGGGGUUGGAAAGUUUCGGCGGUUGGGGACGGACUCGCGGCUUAUCAGCUUGUUGGUGGGGUAGUGGCUUACCAAGGCUUUGACGGGUAGCCGGCCUGAGAGGGUGACCGGCCACAUUGGGACUGAGAUACGGCCCAGAAUCCUACGGGAGGCAGCAGUGGGGAAUAUUGCACAAUGGGCGGAAGCCUGAUGCAGCAACGCCGCGUGCGGGAUGACGGCCUUCGGGUUGUAAACCGCUUUCGCCUGUGACGAAGCGUGAGUGACGGUAAUGGGUAAAGAAGCACCGGCUAACUACGUG
rnacentral:rRNA from 1 species